AGCUUUGCGCAGUGGCAGUAUCGUAGCCAAUGAGGUUUAUCCGAGGCGCGAUUAUUGCUAAUUGAAAGGACUAAGGGAGCCAAAUGGUCAGAAAGUUUCCAUUCCAUUCACUCUGCAAAGAAGUGGAGAUAAGAAUCUCCUUGGCCAAAAAGAAGGAUUGGGAGUGGUAGAUACUGUUUGGGAACAUACAGAAAUA
rnacentral:snRNA from 1 species